AUAUUACAUGCAUAACUUUAAAUUGGUUGAAAAUUAUCUGAAUGAUAAUUAUCCAGAGCGCAGUAUUAAGUAUUAUUAAUUAUUAAUUUUAGAGGUAAUAAAUUUAUUUAUAGAGGACAAAAUUCGUGCCAGCAGUUGCGUUAUACGAUUUUCUAAAUUUAACUAUGUUAGUUUCAGUUAAAAAGUGUGUUGAUAUUCAAUUUUUUUAAAUUUUGGUGGAAUAAAAUAUAAAUAUGUGUUUAAUUUUAUGUCUGAGAAACUUUUAUAUAAAAACUAGGAUUAGAUACCCUAUUAUUGAGAGUGUAAAUAAAAUAACUAGAUUAUUAAUAGUUAUGAUCUUUAAAUUCAAAGAAUUUGGCGGUAAUUUAUCUAAUCAGAGGAAUCUGUUUUGUAAUUGAUAAUCCACGAUAGAUUCUAUUUUAAAUAAAUUUGUAUACCUCUGUCAAGAAUGUUUUAUCAGAAUAAUUUUCAUUUGUUUUAUUAAUAAAAUGUCAGGUCAAGGUGCAGUUAAUUUUAAAGAAAAAAUGGAUUACAUUAUUGUAAAAAAUGAAUUGUUUUCUAUAAUGAAAAUCAUGAAACUGGAUUUGAAAGUAAAUUUCAUUAAAUAUGUGUU
rnacentral:rRNA from 1 species